AGCUUUAUAGUCAAAAAUGAUAUGAAAUUGCAAAUUUUAAGGAGUAAUAAAAUAUAAUACUAAGGCUU
rnacentral:tRNA from 1 species